ensembl:misc_RNA Metazoa_SRP Metazoan signal recognition particle RNA
GCUGGGUGUGGUGGAAUCUGCCUGUGGUCCCAGCUACUCGGGAGGCUGAGGCUGGAGGAUCACUUGAGUCCAGGAGUUCUGGGCUAUAGUGUGCUAUGCCGAUCAGGUGUCCGCAGUAAGUUUGACAUCAAUAUGGUGACCUCCCAGGAGCGGGGGACCACCAGGUUGCCUAAGGAGGGGUGAACCAGCCCAGAUCAGAAAUGGAGCAGGUUAAAAGUCCCGUGCUGAUCAGUAGUUGGAUCGUGCCUGUAAAUAGCCACUGCACUCCAGCCUGGGCAACAUAGCUAGACCCUGUCUCUU